rnacentral:rRNA from 1 species
GACGAACGCUGGCGGCGUGCCUAAUACAUGCAAGUUGAGCGCUGAAGGUUGGUACUUGUACCGACUGGAUGAGCAGCGAACGGGUGAGUAACGCGUGGGGAAUCUGCCUUUGAGCGGGGGACAACAUUUGGAAACGAAUGCUAAUACCGCAUAAAAACUUUAAACACAAGUUUUAAGUUUGAAAGAUGCAAUUGCAUCACUCAAAGAUGAUCCCGCGUUGUAUUAGCUAGUUGGUGAGGUAAAGGCUCACCAAGGCGAUGAUACAUAGCCGACCUGAGAGGGUGAUCGGCCACAUUGGGACUGAGACACGGCCCAAACUCCUACGGGAGUCAGCAGUAGGGAAUCUUCGGCAAUAGACGAAAGUCUGACCGAGCAACGCCGCGUGAGUGAAGAAGGUUUUCGGAUCGUAAAACUCUGUUGGUAGAGAAGAACGUUGGUGAGAGUGGAAAGCUCAUCAAGUGACGGUAACUACCCAGAAAGGGACGGCUAACUACGUG